UAACACAUGCAAGUCAAGGAGAAUUCCCGACUUGUCGGGAUAGUAAACUGGCGAACGGGUGAGUAACGCGUAGGUAAUCUGCCCUUGGGAUUGGGAUAACCCGCCGAAAGACGGACUAAUACCGGAUAAGGUCCUGGUAUUUUAUAUCAGGAUGAAAGAUAGGGAUCUUCGGACCUAUUACCUGAGGAUGAGCCUGCGUCUGAUUAGUUAGUUGGUAAGGUAAUGGCUUACCAAGGCGACGAUCAGUAGCUGGUCUGAGAGGAUGAUCAGCCACAUUGGGACUGAGAUACGGCCCAAACUCCUACGGGAGGCAGCAGUGAGGAAUUUUGCGCAAUGGCCGAAAGGCUGACGCAGCAACGCCGCGUGACCGAUUGAAGCUCUGAGGAGUGUAAAGGUCUGUCGUAGGGGAAGAAUAUGUCCGAUAAUAAUAUUUUCGAACACUGACGGUACCCUAUGAGAAAGCUCCGGCUAACUCCGUGCCAGCAGCCGCGGUAAUACGGGGGGAGCUAGCGUUGUCCGGAAUUAUUGGGCGUAAAGAGCGUGCAGGCG
rnacentral:rRNA from 1 species